rnacentral:rRNA from 1 species
CUCACUGGUCGAGUGAAGUUGCGCGGAAAAUUACCGGGGCUAAGCUAUACACCGAAAUUGCGGAUUUACACUUGAAAGAUAGUGUAAGUGGUAGAGGAGCAUUCUGUAGUAGGGAGAAGCAAAAGCGAGAGCAUUUGUGGACGAGGCAGAAGAGAGAAUGCUGGAAUAAGUAGCGAGAGCAAGGUGAGAAUCCUUGCCGUCGAAAGUCUAAGGUUUCCUGGGGAAGGUUCGUCCGCCCAGGGUAAGUCGGGACCUAAGGUGAGGCUGAAAAGCGUAGCCGAUGGAUAGCAGGUUGAGAUUCCUGCACUAUAGAUAUACUUAAAAGAUGCAAGGGACGCAGGAGUGGAAGAUAAGCGAGGAAGAGGAAAGACUCGUAUCGCAAGAUAUAGUGAAAAUAAAGUAACGAAUUAUCAAGAAGCACACUGACGAGAAAAGCUUGUAGAUAUUGUAUAUAAAUACCCGUACCGCAAACCGACACAGGUAGAUGAGGAGAGGAUCCUAAGACGAGCGGGAGAAGCAUUGUUAAGGAACUCGGCAAAUUGACCCCGUAACUUAGGGAGAAGGGGUGCCAAGGUAGAACUUGGCCGCAGUGAAGAGGUUCAAGCAACUGUUUAACAAAAACACAGGUUUCUGCUAAAUCGAAAGAUGAAGUAUAGGAGCUGACGCCUGCCCAGUGCUGGAAGGUCAAAGGGAAGUGUUAGUAAAAACUUACGAAGCACAGAACUCAAGCCCCAGUGAACGGCGGCCGUAACUAUAACGGUCCUAAGGUAGCGAAAUUCCUUGUCAGGUAAGUUCUGACCCGCACGAAAGGCGUAAUGAUUUGAACACUGUCUCGACAAUGUACCCGGCGAAAUUGUAGUACUAGUGAAGAUGCUAGUUACCUGCGACAAGACAGAAAGACCCCAUGGAGCUUUACUGCAGCUUGAUACUGGGUUUUGGUAAUUUAUGUACAGGAUAGGUGGGAUACAUUGAAGCAAGUGCGCCAGCAUUUGUGGAGUAGACGUUGGGAUACCACUCUUAAAUUAUUGAAAUUCUAACCUGUGAUCAUGAACUGGUCAGGGGACAAUGUCAGGCGGGCAGUUUGACUGGGGCGGUCGCCUCCUAAAGAGUAACGGAGGCGCCCAAAGGUUUCCUCAGCACGGACAGAAAUCGUGCAAAAGAGUGUAAAGGCAGAAGGAAGCUUAACUGGGAGACUGACAAGUCGAGCAGAUACGAAAGUAGGGCUUAGUGAUCCGGCGGUAGUGAGUGGAAAUGCCGUCGCUCAAC